UACGUAGGGUGCGAGCGUUGUCCGGAAUUAUUGGGCGUAAAGAGCGUGUAGGCGGUUGGGUAGGUCCGUUGUGAAAACUCGAGGCUCAACCUCGAGACGCCGAUGGAAACCCCCCAGCUAGAGUCCGGAAGAGGAGAGUGGAAUUCCUGGUGUAGCGGUGAAAUGCGCAGAUAUCAGGAGGAACACCGGUGGCGAAGGCGGUUCUCUGGGCAUGAUCUGACGCUGAGGAGCGAAAGUGUGGGGAGCGAACAGG
rnacentral:rRNA from 1 species